CAGGACCCUGUCUGAUCCUUGAGGGACAGAGCCUUCCUCUCCACCUCUGGAUGAUGCACUAAGCCCAGCUUCAGGAUGAAAGGGAAGUACCAAGGGAGUCCCUCCUGGUGGAGUUCCACGAUGUCCCUCUCGGUACGACCCCAGCGGCGCAGUCUGGUGGUCAGGAUCAAUAGGAGCCAGUCCUUUGGUGGGGUCAACUCCUCCCAGGACAAAUCUUUCAGGAAUUUCCCUGCGUUCAGUACACCAACAGUCUCCAGGAAGUCUGGCUCCAGGGUCAGUAGGAUGUUUUCAAUGUCUCAUAAAUCCCCUCCACCCAAGGUGCCCCAGCCAGAGCGACUUGAUGAAGUGUAUGAAGCAUUGAAGAAAGGGCUAAGUGCUUACUUGGAAGUCCACCAGCUGGAACUGGAGAAGUUGAGUACUCAGAUCCGUGAAUCCAAAAGGAAUUCUCGCUUGGGCUUCCUCUAUGACCUUGAUAAGCAAGUCAAGUCAAUUGAGCGUUUCUUGCGCCGCUUGGAGUUCCAUGCUAGCAAGAUCGAUGAGCUCUAUGAGGCCUAUUGCAUCCAGCGGAGGCUCCGAGAUGGAGCUCACAAUAUGGUCAAGGCCUACACAACUGGUUCCCCUGGCAGCAAGGAGGCACGUGAGAGUUUAGCUGAAGCUGGCAAGGGCUAUAAGGAGUACACGGAAAACAUGUGCCUAUUGGAGAGCGAAUUGGAGAGCCAGUUGGGAGAGUUUCAUAUCAAGAUGAAAGGAUUGGCUGGCUUUGCUAGGCUCUGUGCAGGGGACCAGUAUGAGAUCUUCAUGAGGUAUGGGCGCCAACGAUGGAAACUACGGGGUCGCAUUGAGGCCAACAGCAAGCAAGUGUGGGAUAGUGAAGAGAUGAUCUUUUUGCCCCUCAUCACAGAGUUUCUGUCUAUCAAGGUGACGGAACUCAAGAGCUUGGCCAGCCAUGUAGUGGUGGGGAAUGUCUCUUGCGAGACCAAGGAUCUCUUUGCAGCCCUGCCCCAAGUGGUGGCAGUUGAUAUCAAUGAUCUAGGCACGAUCAAGCUGAGCCUGGAGGUCAAUUGGAAUCCGUUCGACAAAGAGGACCAGCCGUCUUCUGCCAGUACUGUGAAUAAGACAUCAACAGUCAAUAAACGAUUCUCUACAUACAACCAGAGCCCGCCUGACACUCCUUCCAUGAGAGAACAGGCCUUUUAUAGCCUGCCUUGGGAGGCGGUCCCCAAGCACAGGCGGCCCUUGAUGGACGUCUUCCAGGAGACCCUCCGGGAAAGGCUGCCAUGGAGCUGCUCAUGCAGCGACGUCUCCUCGGUGCAGCUCAGCACAGGGGCAUCUCAGGGCUGCAAUAUGCUGCGGCAGCAGGAGGAACUGGAGAAUGGGGCAGCCUGGUCCAUCUCUUCAGAGUCAUCAGAUGACUCUUCCAGCCCCCAGCUGUCUGGAAGUGCCCGACAUUCACUGCCCAGGCCUAUUGUGCAACCCGCAGUGCAGGCCACUGCACCUGCCAUUGAAAUUGCUUUUACCCGGCCUGAGGACAAAGAGCCGGCAGUCCGAGAGGAGGCUGCCAUGGCAAACGGACACGUGCCCUAUGCCCGGACUCUUAGCCAAAUCAGUGAAGCAAGUGUAGAUCUGCCAAUGGCAGAAGAAAGGGAGAGCCCUGUCCCCAAAGACACUAGCCCUUGGGACAUCCCUCCCCUGGAAACGAACUCCUUGCCCCCAAGUGUGGGCUCACCACUGGACACUCCGAUCUAUGAGAGUGAAGAGCAAGAGGGGGAGUCUGAUGGGGCCACCCCGGUUGCAGAGGAGAGCGAGGACACACCUGGUCCAGCCCAAGAAGUUCAACAGCCCAAGUCCUCAUUGGCCCCAUCAGCCCUGGGGGACCUUCAGCCAUCAGGGAUCUCAGAAGCCCCAAGGCCCAAACUGGUGGACUCUGGCCUGGAGGAGGCCAUCAACACACUGGCUUCUGCUCUGGAUGACUAUCGGGGACAAUUCCCUGAGCUGCAGGUUCUGGAGCAGGAGCUCAAGCAUCUUGAGGAGAUUCUCUUGCAAAAGCAAGGGCUGUGCCUGAGCCGAGCCUCUAGUACCAGCCUGACAGUGGAACACGCGCUUGAGAGUUUCAGCUUCCUCAACGUUUCUGAUACAGAAGACUCGGAAGGAGAUGAUGACAAGGUGGCAAUGGCAAGCAGUGCACAGGCUACAUCUGUGGGCAAGGUGCCAGGGACUGGUGACGUUGUGGCUGCUGAAGACUCUGCUGGGUGCCUGAGCUCGGAGGGCAGCUUGGAGCCUAUGAGCACAGGCAUCGAAUUCCUUGACAGGGCCCUGGUCCUGCAUCUGAACCACUGCAACCGCUUGCUGCUAAAGCUGGGCAAGUUUGGACCUCUCCGCUGCCAGGAAAUGUAUGCCCUUGACAGGCUGGCAAGAGAAGUGCAGGUUCUAGAGAUGGUCUGUCGCCUGAUAGUGGAUCGAGCGGGGCUAGCCAGCUGUGCUGAAGAAGUGGUCCAAUUCUCAAAGUGGAAAGAAGGAGUUUUCCCUUUCUGGGAUGGUUGUGUGGCCAUCCCUAAUGUGUAUACCUGCCCCGUAGAAAAGUUCAUGCAGACAUUCAAGGCUGAGUAUGCAGCACGCAUCAAUGACCGCCAGCAAGGCUUGGCAGAUUCAGUGUGUGUAAAGCUGGUGGAAGAACUUCUGCAACACAGACUGCCCAGGCGUCAGGGAAGUUGUCAGGCUGAGCAGGUCACCCUCUUCCAAUAUUGGAGCCACUUUGAGGUCCUGCCUAUUGUUACACUGGACUCCUACAUCAUGGAGCUGGCUGAAGAAGUCCUGCUAGCACAGAACCUGAAUUCUGAUGACCAAGAUGUGGUCUUGAAGGCACUGAAGCGAGUUCCAGAGAGUCGGCUACGCAAGGAUGGACUGAAAGCGCUGAGUCUGCUUCUUGUUGAAGGAAACACCAAAGUUAUUGGGGCUGUAACGGCACAGUUGCGCAACCUGUCAGAGAACCCCAGUUUUCGGGAGCGGGCAAGUAUCUAUUUCCUAUUUCUUCCCUAUGCAUGGGAAUGGAUAGAUUAAAAGAUACCUGGUCCUUGCAUGCAGCCACAUUACACAUUCUUAAAGGAAUCAUUUUCAUUUCUUGGGCUUUUUGCAAUGAAAUCUGAUUGCUGGAGAUGGGGAGACUUGCUCACUAACUGCAGGGAACAGUAUUGUGGGUUGGCAGAUUUUAUGGCAUAGGUUGUGUGAUGAAGGAAGGAAGGAAUUUGCAAAAUCAGUUACUCACUGUUCUUUAUUUGCAUAAACAUUCAAAGGCAGUGGGCUUAGAACAGAUACAAUGACACAUGUCACCCUAGAAGAAGGGCUUGCUUUUGGUUGAGCCCAAGCAGACUGAUUGGCAUGUUUUCCUCAGGCCCUGAUCUGCUUCUUGGAGCAGUUGGAAGAUGAUGAGACACAGACACGAGUCGCUGCCUGUGCAGCUCUGGGCUGCCUUAAGGCCAAGGAGAGCAUUGAACAGCUGGUGUACCUGUGCCAAACUGACAAAGAGGCUGUGCGGGAAGCAGCCAAACAGAGCCUCCUCCUCUGUGAUGGCACUGAAAGAACCCUGUGAUGGGCUCAUAGACUUCUGGGUCAGGACAGCGGCUGCACAGGGGAAGACGGCAAGUCAGCUCACCGAAGGCUAGAAGAGUCCCUUGACAGUCUGCCACGGAUCUUUGCCCCGGGGAGCAUGGCCAGUACUGCAUUCUGAGAUGCCGCCUCAGUUCACCUGCUGAUCCUUUGUGGGCACAGACCUUGCAUGCCACAGAACUUCAGUGGAGUCACUCAGACCGAAGUCAGAUUGGCAUAUCGCAAACAGGCAGCAGCUCUUUUCACUUUGGGUGCAUGUCCAUACGGCAGUAUUUGUACCGCUGGCCUGCUGCCUUAUGUGGAGAAUGCCUGGUCCUAGCUCUUCAGCUCUAGCAGCCAAUAAGAGUGUGGGGCAUCUGCUGUUUCUCCUUCUACAGAAGCCUACUGGAGGGGGAUGUUGAACUGGGCAUCUUAUCAUUAGCCAGGACCAAAAUAGAUCCCUCUCUGGAGAAAACCAGCCACGGUUGCAAAGGCCAUCGAUUUGAGAUAAACUUGGGAAAAUUUGUGUUUAAAGUCCUGCUUAAUAUUUAGCCUGUUCUCUUCUCAACUGUUUCCUCCAUCCUCUGGGACUGUGAAUUCUGCAGGAAAUUGGGGCCAGCUAUACUCUGCGAGUGCUUUGGACAAACUGCAAAUUCCUCCUCUUGAUUGCAGGGGGGGGAAGAGCGCGCCAAAAGAUGAUAGGAAGGAGUUCUUCAUUCCCAGUGAGGGAAGGGAAAGAAAUGUCUUUUUAAUGACAAUGCUAUGGAAGAUGGAAACAAAACAGGCAGAAGCUGCCUCUUCUUCUGCUAUUUUAAUAUUUUUUAUGUAAAUGUGUGCGCGUGUGUGUGCUGGGGGGAGGGGAGGCUGCAGCCAAAUGGAAGCAAAAGUCCUUUUCUACAAAGUAUCUAUAAAUUUAUCUGUACAUCUACAUAACUAUAUAAAUAUAUAUAAUGUAAUUAUCAAGAGGUUUGGCUAAUUUUGACUUUAAGCCUGAAAUUAACUGAAGUUUGAACAA